CCUGGUCGGACAUCAGGAGGUUAGUGCAAUGGCAUAAGCCAGCUUGACUGCGAGCGUGACGGCGCGAGCAGGUGCGAAAGCAGGUCAUAGUGAUCCGGUGGUUCUGAAUGGAAGGGCCAUCGCUCAACGGAUAAAAGGUACUCCGGGGAUAACAGGCUGAUACCGCCCAAGAGUUCAUAUCGACGGCGGUGUUUGGCACCUCGAUGUCGGCUCAUCACAUCCUGGGGCUGAAGUAGGUCCCAAGGGUAUGGCUGUUCGCCAUUUAAAGUGGUACGCGAGCUGGGUUUAGAACGUCGUGAGACAGUUCGGUCCCUAUCUGCCGUGGGCGCUGGAGAA
rnacentral:rRNA from 1 species